rnacentral:rRNA from 1 species
GAUGAACGCUGGCGGCGUGCCUAAUACAUGCAAGUCGAACGCUGAAGGAAGGAGCUUGCUCUUUCCGGAUGAGUUGCGAACGGGUGAGUAACGCGUAGGUAACCUGCCUGGUAGCGGGGGAUAACUAUUUGAAACGAUAGCUAAUACCGCAUAACAGUAGAUGUUUCAUGAUCUCUACUUAAAAGGUGCAAUUUCACCACUACCAGAUGGACCUGCGUUGUAUUAGCUAGUUGGGGAGGUAACGGCUCACCAAGGCGACGAUACAUAGCCGACCUGAGAGGGUGAUCGGCCACACUGGGACUGAGACACGGCCCAGACUCCUACGGGAGGCAGCAGUAGGGAAUCUUCGGCAAUGGACGGAAGUCUGACCGAGCAACGCCGCGUGAGUGAAGAAGGUUGUCGGAUCGUAAAGCUCUGUUGUAAGAGAAGAACGAGUGUGAGAGUGGAAAGUUCACACUGUGACGGUAUCUUACCAGAAAGGGACGGCUAACUACGUG